UUCCUCGCGGAAGUGACGGCAAGGCGGCGAUGGCGGCUCGCAGUUUCAUUCCGGAUUUCCACUGGACUACAAACUGAUUUGGACCGGGCCGGCUGGACUUUUAGCAACUUCAGUAAAGCUGUCUAUUUUCGGACGCUGUGCAGAGUUUAGUCGCACUGAACUGGUGCUUGUCAACGAGCGGCUCCACCGCUUUUUCGGGGUAUUUUUGUCCAAGGUUCAAGGUGGUCACCCCGUCGAGCUAGCGGUAGCUCCGCGGCUACUUGCUAACGUUAGUUGGCAGACAGCUAGCUCCCGAGCUAGCCUAAUUAGCUGCCCACAUUAACGCCUGUGAUCCUUUGGUGUAAAUCGGAAAGAAAGGAAGAGAAGACGAACGACAGUACGAAUGCUGGCUGCCGUCAAACGCCAAAGAAGAAGCAGAAGGAGCCGCAGCAGCGUGCUAAUGUCCAUGCGACAGUAGCCGUCGUGCAGCAGCUUCUCCUUUGCCCACGUCCACGUUUGUCUUUCACAGUGACUGUGAGAAUGCACUUUAUUUAUUAUCGAUAACUGUGCCACAAGUGUGCAGAGCGAGGUACUCACACGUUUGCUUGGCCUCUUGAUGAUCUGAAAAGCUACGGUGGCUAAAGACGGAUUUUGAGUCACUGGUAGGCAAGUUCCCUCUGCAGUUACCCCCCAAACAACUUGGAACUGAGAGUUAAGGUUGAGUGACUGUGGGGUCUGUGCGGGCUCAUCAACAUGCUGAAGACCCGGCAUUGUUUACUUGGCAUCCGCACUUUUCUCGGCAUGACGUCUAGAAUAUGGGGCCUCUUUAUGUACAUCCUCAGGAAGCACCUACGGACGAUAAUCCAGUAUCAGACGGUGCGAUACGACACUCUGCCUCUGUCUCCUAUCUCCAAAAACAGACUCAAUGCAGUAAAGAGGAAGAUUCUGGUUCUGGACCUGGAUGAGACACUAAUCCACUCUCACCAUGAUGGGGUCCUCAGACCCACAGUGAAAGCGGGCACACCGCCAGACUUCAUUCUGAAGGUUAACCAGCAGCUUCGUCUAAAUGAACUGGGCUCCUCUGUUUCCCUUCCAAUGCAGGUCGUCAUUGAUAAGCACCCAGUCAGAUUCUUUGUACAUAAAAGGCCACAUGUUGACUUCUUUUUAGAAGUGGUGAGCCAGUGGUAUGAGCUGGUGGUUUUUACAGCUAGUAUGGAGAUUUAUGGCUCAGCAGUGGCAGACAAACUGGACAACAACAGGAACAUCCUGAGACGCAGAUACUACAGACAGUCUCUCUUUUUUGAUGGUGCCACGGACUCUCCUUUUGUUUCUCUUUCCAGCACUGUACAUUGGAUCUAGGUAGUUAUAUUAAAGACCUGUCUGUAGUACACGAUGACCUGUCUAGUAUUGUCAUCCUGGACAACUCGCCUGGUGCUUAUCGUAACCAUCCAGACAAUGCAAUACCCAUCAAGUCCUGGUUCAGCGACCCUAGUGACACAGCACUUCUUAACUUGCUGCCUAUGCUGGAUGCACUAAGGUUUACUGCUGAUGUCCGCUCCGUCCUCAGUCGAAACCUCCACCAGCACCGACUCUGGUGAUUGGCUGAAUCAAGAGGGGUGGGACUUGUUGACCAGCCUCUUCCUCUCUGCUGGCUUCUUUCCUUCCUGCCCUCCGUUCCCACACAGACGACCCACCGGCCCUCUGUCAGUCCUCUACCAUGUGUCCUGAGGACAUGAGGGGUUGGGGUGACCGCCUAACAUGGAAUGAACAGUAUGGGAUCACCAGAGCCCAAGAAAUACUAGAGGGAGGGAGAGCCAGCUUCUUCUUUUUUUUUUUUCUUUUUU